GGGCUCUAUUUUGGUGCCUCGCCGGAGACGUGCCGCAAGCGCAGCGUCAGUCAGAUCCGCCGCGCUGACAAGGCGUUCCCAAGCACAUUUUGGUAUUUUGGUGAGCCGCGCAGCCCAGCGUAAGUAUCCCCCCUCCCUAACUCAGCUCCUCCCAGCACCAUAAGUCGUAGACGGGGCGUGUAGUUGGUUUAACACAGCCGAGACCUGUUUUCACCAAUCACAUAAGCUCCUCUCCUUGCCUUUAAAUCCGCCACAGGCGUAUUACUAUUUUCAUGGAGUAGUCAAAGAGAUCAAGAGAUGUCUUAAGACAGUAAUGCCACAAGAUGGCGACAGAGGGCAGCUCCUCAACAAGUGUCCUCCACACUCUCUCAUAUGAGCACAGAUGGAUUUAGUGCGCGUAAUGUUGGACCCACUGGUAAGACAAACACCCUUUUCCACAAAUAAAGACACUCACAUAAAGUUGCUCAUAUUCAAACCUCACGUGACAAAGGUGGGUUGAGCGCACAGAUCACAACAUAAACUCCAAAAAUGGCAUUAAAAUCGGAACCAUCUGUGCGUAAAUGACCCAUCGCGCUCCGUGGCCUGGCUCUUUCUUUCAUAGAUGUUGGCAUAUAAAUAAAUUUGGCUCACAAAACUGAAUAUUAUAAUAUCCGUAUGUCGGCUUAAAGUAGAUAACGCAUCUGAGCACUGAAACAAAUCAUCUGUUCAGCUGCAGCAGCAGCAAGACGGACAGAGGACACGGAGACGUGUCCAGGUCGAGCUGUGCGAGAAAUAAGAGGAAGAGGAAGAAAGAAAAGGAGGGAGACACAUUACAUAUCUUGUUAACUUCAUCAUGUGUGUAUAUUUACUAGAUAUUUAAUUUAAUUUGAUGCGGUUUCAGCUGUGUUGAUUCGGUCAGGUUGUGUGUCCAAACGCGUGCCAAACGCGCUCAUCAGAUCAGAUAUAGAUCAGAAUAUAUCUAUAUAGAUCUAAAUGUAUGUGCUGACUCAGAUUAAUAGUUGAUGAUGAUUAUUUAUUGCACUGAAAUGUGCCUGACACUGUGGAAACCUGCCGGUGAGGCAUCAGUGACGUAUGUCGAUACGCCGCCGGUCUACCAAAAUACUACAAGACCAGCUGCGUUCCGCCUUGCGCUGAAAGCUGACCAGGUUUGAAUCGGCGAGCUUUCAGCGCACUUUACACGCCGUUGGCGAGCACGAAAAUGUCACUGCGCCAGCUGAUUCUGUCGAAACCUCCCCCUGCCACGCCACCACGCCCAGCUUGGCGGAUCUCGGCUCGCCUCCGUGCGGCUCAUGCCACGAAAAUACCAAACCGGCCUUACGCUGGGCUCCGCCAGACGAAAAUACAACUGCGCGGGGCUCGCCGCCCUCCGCCGCCUCACCGGCGCGCACGAAAAUAGAGCCC
rnacentral:lncRNA from 1 species